rnacentral:ribozyme from 1 species
UUUUACCCUAACGUAGUCCAUCGGAUAGCAUCCGAAGCGCAUUGGAGGAAUAAUAUAGGCUCUUUUAUCCAACUCCUAUCCGGACACGUCCCAGUUCUUGCAUGAGUGUUUACACCGGUCAUUACAUAUCCAAGCUUAGGUACACGGACCUAUUACAUCCUGUCGAGCGUAUGGUGACACAUGGCGAAUCUGGAGCGA